UGUCACCCCAACAGUGGGCUCCUUCUUCCUGAGGAGCCGCCCACUGCCUGACACCUAGAAGCGCGGAUAAUCUGCUACACAAAGCCUCUCAGAUCGGGAAUCACAAAAACUGUAUGUACCCGAGAGCACAAAUCAUUGUGAAGGGAGUUGCCCCGGCGGCCCAUUACAAGACCGGCAAAAGGGGAGGCGCAGCGCCAUCUGGUGUCCAUGUAGGGAAGAGCGGAGACCGCUGAGGAAUUGCUACCAAGUAGGACCACACUCACAAAGACUGGAAAAAGUAGCCGGAUGUGCUAUUGCACAGCUUCCUGAAAGUGUCUCAGUCAGCGAAAGACAAAGACAAACCAGAAAUGCUUUCUCCAAAACAAAAUAGCACAGCUUACCAUAAUAAAAAGAUUGUUACUCUGAGAAAUAAAAAGUACAAAAAAAUUUCAAAAACUACUCUUCGAAGCCAUGGGGUUAUUUGAAGAUAAAAGAAUCAAAAGAAAACAUCGGGAGUUAGCUUAGAGCUUGCUCCUCAGCACCCAGCAUGUACAGAGUGUAUGAGAGUGUUGUCAGUGGCUGGAAAUUUUGUACGAAAAUACACUUGUAACUGAUUGAUUUUGCCACUGACUCCUCCCCUUUUAAAGUUGAUAGUUCUUUCUAAUCCUUUUAUUUUACUAUUUUAAUUGUAUGUAUUUGUGGAUUGCAGUGUGAUAAUUUACAAGUACAAUGUAUAAUGACCAAAUCCAGGUCACUAGCAUUUCCAUCUCUUUAAACAUUCAUUAUUUUUUAUGUUGGAAAGCCUCAAACUUUUCUCUUCUCGUUCUUUAUAAAAUAUGCAAGAAACUGCUGUGAACUAUAGUAACCUUGAUGUGAUACAGAGCACUAAAACUUACCCCUCUUUCUAACUGUAUUUUGGCACCUAUGAUUGGUUCCCCCUUUAUUGCCUCUCUCCACUACCUGUCCUAGACUCUAGUAACUACUAGUUCACUCUCUACUUCUAUGAAAUCAACAUUUUUUAGCUUCCAUGUAUGAAUAAAAACAUGCAGGGUUGUUUUUCUAAGCCUGGAUUCUUUCACUUAAAGUCCUCCAGUGUCACUCAUGUUGCCACAAAUGACAAGGCUUUAUUCCUUUUCAUGGUUGAAUAAUAUUCCAUUGCAUAUAUGUACUAUACUUUUUUAACCCAUUCAUCUGCAAGUG
ensembl:lncRNA